UACGUAGGGGGCAAGCGUUGUCCGGAUUUAUUGGGCGUAAAGAGCGUGUAGGCGGCUGGGUAGGUCCGUUGUGAAAACUCGAGGCUCAACCUCGAGACGCCGAUGGAAACCCUCCAGCUAGAGUCCGGAAGAGGAGAGUGGAAUUCCUGGUGUAGCGGUGAAAUGCGCAGAUAUCAGGAAGAACACCCGUGACUAAGGCGGCUCUCUAGUACGGUACUGACGCUGAGACGCGAAAGCGUGGGGAGCGAACAGG
rnacentral:rRNA from 1 species